rnacentral:rRNA from 1 species
CAUGCAGUCGAGCGAUGAGGCACUUCGGGUGUACAUCAGCGGCAGACGGGUGAGUAACACGUGGGUGACCUACCCUAAAGACGGGGAUAACCCUCGGAAACGGGGGCUAAUACCGGAUAGCUACAGCGUACGGGGGUAUGUUGUAGAAAGCUACGGCGCUUUAGGAGGGGCCUGCGGNCCAUCAGCUAGUUGGUAGGGUAACGGCCUACCAAGGCAAAGACGGGUAGGGGGUGUGAGAGCACGGNCCCCCACAAUGGGACUGGAACACGGCCCAUACUCCUACGGGAGGCAGCAGCAGGGAAUAUUGCGCAAUGGGCGAAAGCCUGACGCAGCGACGCCGCGUGAGUGAAGACGGCUUUCGAGUUGUAAAACUCUUUUCUGGGGGAAGAGGAAGGACGGUACCCGAGGAAUAAGCGUCGGCUAACUACGUGCCAGCAGCCGCGGUAAGACGUAGGACGCGAGCGUUAUCCGGAUUUACUGGGCGUAAAGCGCCUGUAGGCGGCUUUGUAAGUUGGGCGUGAAAGCCCCGUGCUUAACGCGGGGAGGCCGUUCAAUACUGCGGAGCUAGAGUACGGCAGAGGGGAGUGGAAUUCCUGGAGUAGCGGUAAAAUGCGCAGAUAUCAGGAGGAACACCAGUGGCGAAGGCGGCUCCCUGGGCCGAGACUGACGCUCAGAGGCGAAAGCUAGGGGAGCGAACCGGAUUAGAGACCCUGGUAGUCCUAGCCCUAAACGAUGGAUGC